rnacentral:rRNA from 1 species
AUGGGCAAGACAACUCUUGCAAACCAAGUGUUUCAAGAACUCAAAGGAAAAUUCAAGAGGCGUGCUUUCAUAUCUGUGUCGCGAAAUCCAAAUAUGACGAAUAUCCUAAGAACUAUUCUUAGUGAAGUUAGCGAUCAAGAUUGUGCUAACACAGAAGCAUGGAGUAUACAACAACUCAUCAGCAAGAUCACCAAUUUCCUAGUAGACAAAAGGUACAUUAUUGUUGUUGACGAUAUAUGGGAUGUGAAAGCGUGGAAUGUGAUGAAAUGUGCAUUCCCCGUGACUAGUUCUGGCAGUAUAAUAAUCACCACCACUCGUAUUAAUGAUGUCGCUGAUUCAUGUCGGUCAUCAUGCAAUGGUCAUAUUUAUAAUAUAAGGCAUCUUGAUAUGGUGCAUUCGAGGCAACUUUUUAACAAAAGGCUGUUCGAUCCAAAUGAAGAUUGCCCUUCACACCUUGAAAAAGUUUCUAGGGAAAUUUUGGAAAAAUGUGUUGGUUCACCUUUGGCAAUCAUUUCUAUAUCUGGUUUGUUGGCUACCACAGAAAGAACACAGCAUCGGUGGAAUCAAGUGAAAGAUUCAAUUGGCCGUGCACUCGAAAGGAAUCCUAGCGUCGAAGGAAUGAUAAAAAUAUUGUCACUUAGUUACUUUGAUCUGCCUCCUCAUCUGAAAACUUGUCUCUUGUAUGUGAGUAUUUUUCCUGAAGAUUCUAUAAUUGAGAAGAAAGCUCUUAUAUGGAGAUGGAUUGCUGAGGGAUUCAUUCCUAAAGAUGACAUAUAUACAUCAUACCAGUUAGGAGAGAGGUGUUUCAAUGAGCUCCUCAAUAGGUGUUUGAUCCAAGUUGCAUGGACGGACGAAUAUGGUAAGGUGGAGAGUUGUCGAGUUCAUGACAUUAUUCUUGAUUUCAUCAUAUCCAAGGCCAUGGAAGAGAACUUCAUUACUUUUGUUGGUGUCCCUUAUAUAAGUAGUGGGACACAAAGAAAAGUUCGUCGUCUCUCUCUCCAAGUUGAUGAGAAAGAAAAUUCUAUAUUGAAGACAGGCUUGGUGUUGUCUCAUGUCCGGUCAGUAAAUGUGUUUGGGUAUACCGUGGAAAUUCCUUCUGUGGAUGAGUUCAAAUACUUGCGUGUUUUGGACUUUGAGCUUUGCCGCCAUGUGGAAAACCACCAUCUCGCAAAUAUAGGGAGCUUGUUUCAGUUGAGGCACCUGAACCUUAGUUGGACGGAAGUAAGUGAGCUCCCGGAACAAAUUGGCCGUUUACAUUGCUUAGAGAUGCUGGACAUAAGAGGCACCAAAGUACAUGAAUUACCAACAACUGUUGUUAAUCUUAAGAGAUUGGUGGAUCUGCUUAUUGAUACUAGAGUUAAGUUUCCUAAUGGAAUUGUGAAUAUGCAAGCAAUGGAGAUGUUGGAACAGGUGGGUGUCUUCAGGCAGCAGUUUAACUUCCUGCAAGAACUUGGGCAGCUACAGAAUAUGAGGAAGCUAGUCCUCGAUACAGAAUACGAUUCUAUGAGCAUGGGCAGGAUGAGGGGGGCGGGGCCAGAUUGCAAUGAAGCUAUUGCCUCUUCUCUUCUCAAAUUAGAUUACCUUCGUACUCUAACAAUUAUUCAUGGGGGUAGCUUCUUACAACAGGGACCUGUGUGCCCUGCUCCACGUAACCUCCAGGAACUCUUCAUGGCCAAGUCUUCACAUGUCAUGUGGGUUCCUGUAUGGGUGAGCUCGCUCGUAAACCUGGAGCAGUUGCACCUACAAGUGGAGGAGUUUGAGCAGGAAGAUCUAUGCAUCCUUGGAAGCUUACCUGCUCUGCUCAUUCUGGAAUUAACAAGGGAAAAUAAAAAUAGUAGGCUUACAAUCAGCAGUGAAGCUGGCUUCCGAUGCUUGAGGAGGUUUUCAUUUGGAGUAUUUAGAUGGAUGAUGUUUGAAGUGGGGUCCAUGCCUAAGCUAGAAAAACUUGAACUCAGAAUUUGGUCAGGCAAGCAGUUCAACAUGUAUGAAUAUGAUACUGAUUCUCACAGUGCUAGUUGUGGUGAUUUUGAUUUCGGAAUUGAAAACCUUCCUUGCCUCAUUACGCUCAAAUAUGCAACACAUGGCUGCAAUGAUUGCAUUGCGGCUGCAAAGGCUGCUUUGGAGAGAGCAGCUGGCACAAGUCUCAGUCGCCCUACUCCACUCUUUCAAAAACUGGAAACCACCCACACCACCAAUGAAUGUCAUUUGAGGAGGUACUGGUACUGCUUUAUAUCAACU